CUUUUUUCACCUAUAGCCUGUGCAACUGCCUUCCUCAUUUCUUACAGCCCAGCAGUAAGGAUGUAAUGCCUCAUGAAAAUAAAUAUGGAUGGCUGGAAUUGUGUCUGUAAGGCUCCCAUUUGCCUUUCACAGCCUCAGCCCACAUCUUUCAGCCUUCCAUGCAAUUUCUCAUCAAACACCAGGACAGUACUCAGCCGCACAGAGCUCAUGGAUCUCAUAAACUCUACAGAAAAGCUUUCUUUAUUGGCAUAAAAGACACAACAGGAUAAGUAUUUGGAGGUGUUGAAAAACACUUCACCAGACAUUAAAUUAUAUUAUUUAUUCUAUCAAGAAAAGCUCUAAGGGACAUCCCAAAAAUGUGAGCCGUCUUCCAAUGGAGAUAAGAAAGAGAACACACGUACCAGCAAGCUGUUUCUAAAGCUCUGAUCAGCUGAGGCAAGAAAAAAAAGAAGUUGAUGGUGGGAGAUUGUGCAAAUUGAACUCCUGAGGAUAUUAAAAAAAAAAGAGUAUUUCCAAAGAUAAGAAGCUGGAAGGCUAUAAAAGAAUGUAUCCAUCCACUAAAUGAUGGGAGUUCAAGAGCUAAAUGAAACAGUUGCCCAGGGAGGUGGUGGAGUCACCAUCCACGGAGGUGUUCUACAACUGUAGGGAUGUAGCACUGAGGGAAAUGGUUAUGGGCAUGGUGGAGGUGGGAUGGGGUUGGUUGGACUCGGGGAUCUUAGUGGUCCUUUCCAACCUUAAUGGUUCUAUGAUUCUACAAUUCGAUGUGGAUCACUGUUUCCUACAGAGGAAUGGAUGGAGGUUUCCAAAUCAAAGCCCUUCUUCAAGAGGGAUGAGAUUGAGAAAUUUUCUCACAAUGAAGAUCAGCAGAGAAGACUUUAAGCUGAAUAAAUAAAAUUAAUGGCAACCAAAUUCCAGUAUGGGAUGGCAUUGACCAAAAGUCCUAGAGAAGGGCUCAGGCAUGAAUUACCCGAUUGCCUGACUGGUUUCAAGCUCAUUGGCCAGAGCAGGCCUGAUACUGAAGGAAUGGAACAAAAAAAUGGAACUAAACAAAGAUAAUGCAAAAUAAUGGCAAUGGAAGCUACAGAUAAGUAGAAAUGGGCUCUGAGCUAUGACAAUUUAAUGAGGAGAUGCUGGCUUCAUUAUGCUGAUCGCUCUGUAGUGCCUCACACGAUGCUCAGAGAUAGUCAAAGGCAAACAGGAGGGAAUGGGGAACAAAUAAAAACAAGUGUUGUGAUGCCAGUGGACAAUCAGCAGUUUCAGUCCUCCCAUCUCAAAAUGGGCACAGCAGUGUGAAAAAAGGUGGAGGACAACAGAAGGGAGUUGGGCUUGGAGCUGCCCUGUGUGUGAGUAGGGUUGGGCUUUGCUGUUUGGAGGGGACACCCAAAAGGGGAUGUGGUGCAGGCCCCCAACCAGCAGCUUUAGAAACUCUUACUGCUGUGGGCAAACUUAUUCAAGGCAGUUUUCUAAUUCAUCACCUUGUGUGCUAAUUUAUAUUUAAUUUUUAUUUCUAUAAAACUGUACUCAAAGGGUGUUAAUGAGCUUAUUAAUAAUGUUUACACGUUAUGGAUAUUGAUAAAUAUAUUCAGAAAAUUAAUGGAUAUUUUUAAUUAAAUAAAACCAGCACUUUAAAAAACUCUUAGCAACUUGGUGGGGUCCCUCACAAAAAUACCCAUUACUUCUGUAAAACCAAAUUAAAAUGCAAUAAUUCUGACAACCUAGAAGAGAAAGGAUAGAGGGGUCUAAGCGACACGCUUGGUGGAUGGAGUGACAGCAGCAUUUGCAUUCCCAGCUCUGCGGGGACAGACAUGAUGAAUUCUGAGCCACGCAGGCAGACACAGUGUGCCCAGACUGACUGCAAAGCUAUGGGCACCCCAGCAGGAAAAGCUGAAGAUGCAGGAUCAGGCCCUGCAAAUUAAACAGACAAACAAACAAAAACCCACAGUCCAUAACAGGGUUCAGCAAGAUGUGAAGUUGUUGAAUUAUCUCAGCCGGGAAACGUCAGGUAGCAUUUCUGAGGAGAGCCCUUUGUGCACAUCGUCCCCGGAGCGAGCAGAGCAGGAGCCAUUUGCAUGAGCACUGCGCUGAGCAGCUGCAGAACGCUGGGCGCAGAGGGCUCGCACCAACCCACGCUCCUGGCGAGGCAGGAUCCCAUCCAGAGCUACAGAUGUGGGCACUGCCACUGCAACAGCACCAAUGAGGAGAGCUGCCUCGUCACUUGCAGCUAUAGACAGGUGGCAUCUUGUGUGCUAGCAAAUGGAUCUGCAGCUUCACCAGAGGAAGAGACACCACAUUUACAUGACACGGAACAAAUCUCUGAACUCAGACGAACUAUUUUAAGAUGGAAUUUAGAAACAAAGGAGAGUGUUGCCCUGACCGUUUCCCAACAGCCUUUCCUGUGGGAUAGAGCUACACGGAACUCUCGGUUAUGGAGCACCACCCAGAGGGCAGAGCGGAGGGAUGCAGAAGUGAGAUGAUCGGGUUCUCACUUGGAGUAAGAUGCACAUACAGAGAUGCUAUGCUGCAGAACCAGGGUGCUUAUUAGCACCAAGCAAUAUCAGUAAGAGGGUAGAAAGGCAGAACUGAGUCUGUGAAAGUAUGAAAAAUGCACAUGCGUGCAGGAAAUCAAAAUCUCCUGGACCAGCUUCACCUAUGACCCAUAUGUGGAACCUCAACAAGAUCUCUUCCACCACGAUAUUUGUCACAAUUUCCCCCCCUACAUGUUCAGCACUCGUUACCCACCCUUUCAGGCCUUUUACAGAUCUGAAUGCUUUGUGAUAAUCUGCGCUCUGUCUGGGAAGGGCACAUGAGGGAGAGGGAGGUGAUCCUGCAGCAUUUGACAAGUUUGGCCACAGCAGAAUGAGAUUGAUUUUAUUCUAUGGGACAAUGUGUAGAUUAAAGUUUCAUCUAAAGAUUUCCACUCAAAAUGCUUCAAAGGCAUUCCUUUAUUAUUAUUACUAUUACUACUACUAUUACUAUAAUUUAAAAAGAGCAAGCAUGGAAAGAAACUCUCAGUGUAGCUUCUUCCUCAAAGCAUCUCUGCUUCUGAGUACAUCUGUUGUUCACCAGCAAAGACUGUUGCAUCACUACGCUCCUCUCCAGCACUAAGUGCCACUGCUGCUGUUGGCAUUUAUAUAACAGAAUUCUGCUUCGGAGAAACAUGAAUAAGCACUAGCAUCAAAUCUGGCUUUCACUAGGAGAUUUACUACUGCUGUCCAGCAUGAUGCUUCUUGGAUGCAGAGGAUCCAGAAAGAGAUGAGUCAUGGAGCUGCAGAUCUGUGUGCAGCUGCAGUGCGCUGUGACACGGAGCUCCCAGGGAAUGAAAGGUGCACCUGAAGAUGGGCGUUACUCACCAGGAAGAUGAUUCCUUAAGGGGAGAGCUCAAGAGAAGCAGGAAGAGCUAUUGAUCGCAAUGUUUUGAGCAACCCUAGGGGAUCAUAGAGCAACUGAGAGAAUGUUAACGAUAUGAAGCUGUGGAGCCACAGGAUCAGCAACACAGGAAGAAGGCUGGGGGUCACUGCGGAGAUGGAAAUCCCAGCCCUAAUUGCUCUGAAGGAGCCUGGCGAAGGGAAGCUAUCCAAUGGCUGCUCUGGGCACAACUAAUGAGCUGUUUGUGUUCUGAAUGCAGGCUGUGGUCUGUACACCCAUACUCUGCAGCACAUAGCUAACAAAUAGCUGCGUAGUUACUAAUGUGCUCCUUUCUUGUUGAUGCAUGAAUCAGCCCAGGCUUCAACAAGGGCACAGCCUUUGCAUUAAGGAGCACCUCUGAGUUUUGAGCUGUGAGAACCUGUAUGUAUAAGCACCUACGCAUGCAGCAAGGCUUCCAGUGCAAAUGGUGUGGGAAGGACACACACAACAGACAGCCGAGUUUCGUUUGGGAACACUUUCUAUCUUGGCUUUCAAUUUGAGAGCCCAUUUCAGUUCCUGUAGGAAUUCCCAUUGGCUCUAGAUAGGCCCUAAAAGAAUAAUCCUGCCUUUUUGUGGUGGUUCAGCUCAUAUGCUACUGCCUCCAAGCUCAAAUAAAAGCAAAUUGUGAGGAGAAAGGUUCUGCAACACAUCAGCCAAGGGGGGCCAAAGAAACAUGCCAUAUCCAUUAAGAAUAUAUUAGGUAACUGUUACCACUAGAAAACAGGGGGACCUGGUGCUACACAAUGUUUACGGUGAUGUGUUUUCUCCUGACACAGAAUUAAAUUUAGCUCAGAAAGAUUGAUGUACACUUUCGAAACAUAUUACAAUACACUAUCUACGUUCUUCCUUUGCAUUCCUAGCAUACAUAAUAAGAUGAGCUCGCAAUUAUCAGUUCUGAAGACAGGAAAGAAAAAUAUUACUUCUAAAGAUACAGAAUAUCAGAAGGUUCUUUUCCUGGAAGGUAAUUUGUUUCCAGAACUAUCCUACACCGGAACUCCCACAGGAAUAGCAGGACUAACUUCAAAGGCUUGGGUGUCACACUGGAAGAGUUGUUACUAAUGGAAAGCCCCUAGAGCUGAGGUAACAGCUUAGGAAGGUGGCUCCCCACAUCUCUUUAAGUGAUAACCAUGAAUCUGCCUUAUAAAAAAAUCCAAGGGCUAUGAUGGUAAGCAGGGAUGCUUUAUUUAUUUAUUUAGGUUAUUUAAAUUCUCAUUAGCAGCUUGAGAGCAUUGGAGGACAAAGAAGAAAAUGAAGUCUAUGCCUCAGCCAGCAAAUCCAAGUGCCUGACACAAACAACUUCCACACCUGUAUUAAGGUGUAGGCAAGUCAUGUAGAGCAGCUGGAUGUCACACAUCUGACUCGUUCUGGUAUCCUGAAACAUCCUGAAAGUGGGCUGCCAGCAGGAUGGGCUGCAUCCUUGUGGUAACAGCAGGAAGAACUCUGAAAUAGCACUCCACAGUGUCUAGUCAUGCAUAUACACUAUAAAUACAUGUGAAAAUGAAUUUAUUCUUAAUGUUUCAACUGCAUCAAUUUACUAUGAUUCAGCUCUUGGUAUUCAAAGCAUGAAGAUGAGUCGUCUUAUUCUUUUAUUUUUCAGUUAUGACAGUGAUUGUUACCCUGACAAGGCUCACAAAAUUCUAUCACCAAACAUCAGGUAUUUAUGGCAGCAAAACACAAUUGUAUGUUAAGGAAUGCUGUCUAUUCCCCUAAUAUUUUAGCAAGUUAUUGCUGAAGUGAAAUACAUUUCUGAAGCUUGGACAGGAUACUUCUGGAAAAAUUACUUGUUUCCCUCAAGAACGUCUAUGGAGAUUGAUAUUGCACAGUAUUUUCUUUGAAGAGAACAGGUGUGGCAUCAUCCAUGUCUUUAUUUCCUGGACACUGGGAGGAAAUAAUUGUGAUUCAGCUCCUGAAGCACUCACUGUGAGCUAAGACAAGCGCAGGAGCUGGGCUCGAUGAUCCUUGUGGAUCCCCUCCAACUCGGGCUCUUCUAUGAUGACAAGAAACACCUCAUUUAGCAAAGCCACCGCAGCCCAAUUUCUUAUCUAUCACAUUGCCUUGCCUCUGUGGUAUACUGGGGAACACGAGAGCAGCCCCAUUGAAAUACUGUGAGGCGCUGAUGAUGACGUGUGUCACGUAUUGAUGGCUGUAAGUCCCCAUUUACAUUAAUAGAGCAUGAGGGUACUCCCUGGGCAUCUGUAAUUAAAAUUGUUGUCUUGAGGACCUCUGUGUUUACGGCAGAAUUCUCAUUUAUGCUAUGAGAAGGGUGCCCCAAACCCAGCACUCUGCCUGGAGCCCCUUUGUGUUUGUGGCAGUCAGUGUGAGGGGCGCAAGGACACUACUGAGCGCCCAAAAUCCGGCAUUCUGCCUGUGUUUUCGGCAGAUUAAACAGAUCUUCUUCAGAGGAAACAACUCCACGAGCACAACUGAAGUUUAUUUCCUGCGCCUUCAGUGCGUUACACGCUAAUAAAAUCGAACAAAACGCUUCCCCCGGCCUUCUUCUUCCAGCCGGGCCCUUCAGCAGAGCAGCCAACGCACCCGCGGCCCUCGCCCUGCCCCUUCCCACCCCCAGCAGAACGCCGCUCAGCUUCGCCCUUUUCCCCGCGGCGGAGCUGAGGCCGCUCGGUUUUCUCGCGCUUUCCACACGCAGACGCAGGGGUCUCCCGCCCGCAGGCUGCCGGGGCCCACAGGCCUCAGCGCGCCCUCCCCGCGCCCCGGCCCU
rnacentral:lncRNA from 1 species